CAGUGUGAGUUGCGCCAUCGGUGGCAGGGCGCGGGGAUGCGAGUCUGUCGACGGCGAAAGGAGCAGUGGCGACGGGGCUCGGGGCGAGCAGCUCAGUGCGACCGCGUUGGGAGAGCUGCCGUGCCGGCGGCGGGCGGGAAGGGGAGGAGGCGACCCACGGGGCGCGGGCAGCCUGAGGCGGGGGCUGCGCUGCUGCGGCCGCGGAGCUGCGCCCCCCUGAGGGAGAAGAAGGAGCAGCGCAGCCGCCCCGCUCUGCGCAGGGGCCCCGCGGCCGGCGGGCGUCGUAGCGUCAGCAACUUGUAGAGCCCGGGCGAGAAGGAGAAAUACGGCGUGGAAUGGUAGAGGUGUUUCCAUUAAGAAGCCCAAUGUGAAGGGGAUUUUUCCUGCAACCUAUAUUCACUUGAAAAAGGCAAUUUUUAAUAACAGAAGGACAGUUGUGGGGAGAUUUGGAAGAGCACCAUUUCAGAUGGUCGCCCAAGGUGGAAGGUUAAGUUGGGAAGAUAAAACUAAAAGAUGGCAUUUAGUGAAGUGCCUGCAGAAGAAGAGUACCUCUCCUAAUUUUUGUCCUCUUCUUGUUUUGGCAAUAUGAAACAGUUGUUCCACGUGAAGAUUCUGUUGUGACUGAGGUCACAACAACACUAAAGGAAUGGACUGUGCUCUGGAAACAGCUGUAUGUGGGAUGUGGCGGCUCAAAUGAUCCCGGAAGCCUAAGGAAAUCUGGAGCAGCAAGAUGGUGGAGAAGAGUCUUGGUACAAAUAUGGAGUUGAUCCCUUUCCAGCUGAUGAGCGCUGCAGGAAAGGCUCAGACCAUGCUGUGGAGAAUGUGAGCUCUUCAGUUACCGAGCACCAUUCAUGGCAGUGCUUCUCCUCGAGACCAUCCGUGACUUAAAAACUUACCAAGGCUGCAGAAGCAGUGGGCAUGGAAAAAACAGAGCAUCAGGCCAGACUUCAGCUGGAAGUGUGAUCAAGCGAGUAGCAGUACCCAAAGAAAAGAGCUACAUCAGUGAUAGCAAGCUUUGCUCCGUUGGAUGGUGUGAGAAGCGAGAAUAAUGCUUGGCUCAAAGUUUGUUCAGAGGCAGCCAUCUGAGACAUGAGAAGCUGGAGAAUGCUUGGCUCAAAGCCUGUUCAGCAGCACCCAUCCAAGUCAUGACCUGCCCAACAAGUUUUUGAAGUUAACGGCUGACUACCAUGAGCAAAGUGGUAAGAGGACAGAUGUGCUGUUCCUCCUGAUGAACAAAAAUGUGGGUACCCCUACAGCUACCAUCACUGUGGUGGACAGGACACAAUGCCCCUGAUAAUUGGGGUAGUCAGGCCCGAAUAGUUCUGAGGAAGAAUAGGGAAUCCCAUCUGCCAAAAAGCAGCCAUGUAAGCCAGCAAGACGUCACUGACCAACCUGCUGCCUCCGCAUGGACCAGUGAGGCAUCGCCAGGUUCCCUGGUGGUGACUAUCCCUGCUCUGUAAACUGUUUGCUAAAAUUUCUUUCUCUGCUAUCACUAACUUCCCUAUCUUCCCCACAUCCCUUAGUGGCUUAGAACCUGUAAUGCUGAUUAUGCUCUGAGAUUUACCACCUGUUCAUACUGGGCUGAACCAUACAAGGGUGAAGAAAUUGUUAUCCUUAACAAUCAAUAUUAGAGUAUGGAGAACAGCAAGAUGAUUAGUUUUGAUAAAUUAUUAUUAUCAAUCAUCAGGUCAGGUUAGUAAGGUAGUUUUCUUAUAUUAGAAAUAUUUCAUAGUCUAGUUCAAAAACAAAAAAGGGUAAAAGAGGGGGAAUUGUGAGGGGUGGAUUGUGUUUUUGCAGUGGAAAUUUCCAGUAUUUCUGUAUGUAGCAUAGGAUAAGCUACCUUUCAUAAAAGAAAGUUGCUGAACAGAGUAAAAUUGAGACUGGGGCGUUCUGACCUAGGUAAAAUUGGCACAGGCACUAGGUAAGGCAAUUGUGUGCAGUAGAGCAGGCACAGAACAGAACUGGUGUGCAGGUUGUUGAAAAUAUUGCCCUCUUAUCAUUAUAAGAAGUACAGAACGUACCCAAAGACAAUGGGUUGGUAGCAGACAUUGUAUAGAAGCAUAACAUAGCAACAGCAUCGGAAGAUUGUGAACUCAACCAGUGAGUGACUUUACCUGCAUCACACCCAGGCUACAUAACAGAAUGGAUUUCACUGACUGGUUAUACAAUUUCUCCCUUGUCAGUAGUGGGUUGCGCCCAUUAUUGCAAUAAUGCAUAAACUGCUCUUCACAGAGAUCUUUGCCUGAUCUGUGAUUAGAAAUUUCUGGUCUUGAGCGUGUUUCUCACAUAGCAGUAACACCGCGUAACAGUGUGGCUGUUCUGCAGGGGCAGCUGGCUAUUCUGAACUUUCUAAUCUUCCUUGCUAAUUAUGGAAAGCUUAGGCACUCACUGCUGCUGGAAUGACAGAGAAAGCAUAGAUUCGUCUGGUUCUAAUGGAGCUGACCAAGAAUUUCAUUACUGUUUCAGAAAGGAUAUUGGAUGCAAGCUUGAGAGUACUUUGCAGUCAGAGGUAAAGGUGUGAUACGAAAGUAAAAACAAACAAUAUGUGAGAAGAUUGUCGUGAAGAUCUAGGCAAAAAGAGUAAAAAAUUAAAAAGGACACAGAAAAGAAAGCAAAAAGCACAGUGUCCUGUUGGAAGCUGUGGAUGGCACGAGGAAAGAACCCAUCCUCAGGAUGAGCAGGGAUAUAUCCUGAACAAAACAAGGGCUAAGCUGAAGAGCAAAAAAAUCAGACUGCCCAUUGAAACAAGCAUGAAGAAAAUGACCAGUUAUUAAAUUCAUCAGUUAUAACAAAGUUGUUCAUUAAUCAGGAAAUGUUCGGGUAUGUAUUGCAAUACAAGUCUCCAGACAAAAGAACAGAGCACCCUGAAAGGCAGCCUUAUUAGUGUAUGUACAGAAAGAUUUGUUGCUGUGAGACAAAGUAACUGUAAUGCUAAGAUGGAAAUGACGGGCCACCACAGGCCUCCCAUAUUGGAGAAGGGGUUUAUGUCUGCCUUUUGAGAUACACAGUUCUGGGAAAACUGGUGCUUCUUGCUGUUGCAGAGAGGAUAUACAUACAUAGAAGGGAGGAGACGAUGGCAGCAUCUUAGCUUUUACCCAAGUGUUCUUACUGGCAUCAGCUAACCCUGCCCAGUUGCCUCUCAUCCCUUCCCGUCAGAGCUCAGCAGUAAGAGUAAUUCUGCUUGCUGACAUGUUUAAGGAAUAUAGCACAGGGUGUGUCCUAAGAGCAAGCAGGACUGGGGGCUGUUAGAUGUCAUAAUACCCCUUUAGCAGUGGGCUGGGAUUGGGUACACCAGUGGCCAACUUAAUGACAGUUUUAGCCCUGGGCUGGUUAGUGGGCUUUCACUGGGAGGAAGGGUGAAACCUGCAUGAUGGAGUCUGCCUCACUAGUUGAAGGAGGGACCUACAAAAACAGGUAUGAAUGUCUGCAGGAGCUGUCACAGACAGAUGGAAAUGGUACCACAAUUUAACUGGAUCUUACUUUCCAAUCCAAGCCGAGGUGGAAAAUGACUGAAAAGAACAGUUUGUGGACUGGGAGAUGACAUUGGAAAAAAAGUGCAGUGUGACUGUCUGGGAAAUGAACUCUGCACAAAUUGCAGUCUCAGCUCUGGCAAAUGUUCAGAUGCCAUCAUGCAAACAGUGAAAUCAGACAAUUAACUAUGUGGUAAGUUGAAAUGACUUGAAAAAAAUUGAGACAUCUUGCAAAAAUUCAGUAAAACAAAAUGCAGGUUGUAAAUGCAAGCAACUCUUCCGUCAUCAGAAGCAAAACGGGAACCUGGUAAUUGAUUCAAAGACAUUGGCAAAAAUGAUGCAGCUGAAGCCUAUUUUUCCAAAAUAAGGUAUAGACUCCUCCCCUGGAAAUGAGAUUUUCCACCAGCAGUCUACCUCCAGCCAGGAGUCUUCCUUCAGCUCCCAGGGGCACAUGCUAGUCUCGGCAGGCACCCAGCUGUGAGGGUAAUUGAGCAGUGCAGCAGAGCAGGUUUGGGAUUUACAGCAGUCAAAGGCUUUAAAAUGAGAUUAGAUAGCUCUUUAAAAUCAACUGUAAUCCAGAGUCAAAAGAAAAUGCUAUUGCUGGAUGAAUUUUCUCUAAGAGUUUAACAGGCAAAGGAAAUGCAACAAGCAAACUGCCACUGCUGCCUAGCGUUGUUUUGGCAAGUCCUGACCAUGCUGUUGGGGCCUGUGACUGUCACAGCUGGGAAAAGGAACAAUUCCAUGCUACGUGCCAAUCAUGGCCUACCACUAAAGCUUCCUUAGACAGGGCUUUGAAGUUUCCCAGUGCCAGACCGAAAAUCAGACAAGAGCUGGGCUUGAUAAGACAUUCCUCUAUAUUUCAGGAGAUAUCAACAGUCCUGCACACCAUCAUGAGCGCAUCCCAUUAGAGAAAAGGCUGUUAACUCUCUCCCUUCCUGGUUGGUGAAAGUGAGUAAGUGAUAGAAUGCUUCAUGCAUAAAACAUGAGCAUGACCUCACAUUUAAGAGUUUGACUUUUAUUUCUAAUUAGUUAGGAAUUGUUCAUUGGAAACAAAACUGUAUUGGAAAGAGGAUAUCAGAAAGAGAUCAAACUUUCAGAUGAAGUUAGGCCUGAUAAAUUCUAAAAAAUAUUCCUAGUGGGCAUUUUUCAGUGUGGGAAUAGAGGGUCUGAAGUAGGUUUUCUGUCAUGAGAAUAGCCAAUAUAUGCUUUUUUCAAUUACUACUGUCAAGAAUAUAGGUUACAACUAUUACUAAUUCCAGGUUUGCUUUGAAAGAGCUGAAUCUGGACUACUGUAGUUAUUUGGGAAGCACUGAACACAAAAUGUGCACAUCAACACAUGCACAGGCUGUGAUGCGUCAUGCAUGCCCAUCUCCGACCUCUGGUGUAAAAUGGCACUGAAGUAAGCUUCAGAGAGACCGUGCAGUGCCUACAGUCACAAAGAACUUGUUUGUAGCUGGAAAUGGUGCCCAAAUCAACCAGGACACCACAUCUCAACAAUACCUGCCCUCCUGCUGCCUUUAGUCUGUCUUUUCUCUCCUUAAACACUAGUGCUUGUUCCUUUUUCCUCUGCAAUUAAUUAGCAGAAAAGUAUUUAUUCACUUUGAGGGGGAAAAAAAAUCUUCCUCAGCCUGUUUAAGUGUGUUUAAGAUAUCUGUAAAUCUCCUGAACAAAUUGUUUCAAGGUCUAUACUGAAUGUGGGAUUUAGUGCACUAAAAUAAAGGAAAAGUUUAAUGGAAAAGUGUGGUAUGAGCCAACCA